CGGCAACAGCCUAAAACUCAAAGGACUUGGCGGUGCUUUAUACCCCUCUAGAGGAGCCUGUUCUAUAAUCGAUAAACCCCGAUAGACCUCACCAAUCCUUGCUAAUACAGUCUAUAUACCGCCAUCUUCAGCAAACCCUUAAAAGGAAUAAAAGUAAGCACAAUCACAGCACAUAAAAACGUUAGGUCAAGGUGUAACCUAUGGAAUGGGAAGAAAUGGGCUACAUUUUCUAAUCCAAGAA
rnacentral:rRNA from 1 species